ensembl:snRNA U6 U6 spliceosomal RNA
GUGCUCGCUUUGGCAGCACAUAUACUAAAAUUGGAACGGUACAGAGAACAUUAGCAUGGCCCCUGUGCAGGAAUACAUGUGCAAGAACUUACUUAUGUCUUC